CACAUCUCCAUGUUAUCACGGGGUGAAAUAACUAAAGAUCGUAUUCUUAACAUUCUUUGCCAAACAUCCACAUUUCUCUGACAGCCUUUCAAACGUCUAACCCAUGUCUUCUUUAUCAUUUCACGAACUUCGGGUUUGUCCUCGGCUUUUUUAUAGGUAAUGAUUUCUUCUAAUUCGGAUAACAUUUGAACACGGACAGCAACGCUGUAAGCCCUAUUAUAACUUUCACCAACAAGCGCAGUAAGCUCAGUAUCAAGUAAAUCUCGAGCUCUGGUGAUAUAAGAAGCUGCUUCUUCAAAUUGUGAUCGAUGUAGAGCCACAAUCGCGUUAAAAAAAGCUUUAUCUGGUGACUCAGACUUCAUAACAGAAAUAUAUUCAUCCAUUUGCUCCCAUUGACCUAACCCCCAAGCAGCGGCUACGGAAAGCGGUGCAAUAUACCGUCGCGCAUCAUGACCAGCAUGAAUCCAAUUUUCUUGAGCUAACUGAGAUAAUCGAUCCCAUUCACCCAAAGCGUGUAAACAACGAAGUUUGCCCAUCGUUAUUUCGAAAUUGCCAGCGCCAGCAGCUUCUCUUUUUUCAUAAGCUGACAGAGCAUCUUCCCACCUUUGUAACUUUUCGUACCAAGUUUCUUUAAGAUUCAUUUUGUCAUGCUGCUGAGCAUGUUUAAGUAUUCCAAUAGCUGCGUCUGGUUGUUGGAGUUGAUUAUUGAUUGAAAUUAGGGCCUCAAUUGUAUCAACCGAAGGUUUUGUCACCAAUUCUUCUUCAAUGAAUUCUAGCUCCUUGUAAUGUAAAGCCUUAGCAAACGCAUGGCAUUU